rnacentral:rRNA from 1 species
UACGUAGGGUGCAAGCGUUUGUCCGGAAUUAUUGGGCGUAAAGAGCUCGUAGGCGGUCUGUUGCGUCGGCUGUGAAAACCCGGGGCUCAACCCCGGGCCUGCAGCCGAUACGGGCAGACUAGAGUUCGGCAGGGGAGACUGGAAUUCCUGGUGUAGCGGUGAAAUGCGCAGAUAUCAGGAGGAACACCGGUGGCGAAGGCGGGUCUCUGGGCCGAUAUCGACGCUGAGGAGCGAAAGCGUGGGGAGCGAACAGG